UGACGGGCUGCGUGACGGUGCAAACGCUUUAUUGAAACUCACUUGUGCCUCUUUUCGCAUGACACGUCAUCCAGGAAGUUGCUGUCUUCCAACGAUCCUUCUUUCUUUUCUCUGUCUCUCUCUCCUCUUCGCAUUUCGUUUCACGGCUCGCACCACAUUCGUCUGUCUCUCUCUCCCACCCACUUCCGCCCCGAGCCCCAGACCGCUUCACGGUGACGUGGGCGGGGCGGACAGCACAGAGGUGGAAACAAGGCUGGUGUCGGAAGCGAUCGGAGCACAAAAACACAAAUAUAUUGGUCGGAGGAGCGUCGCAGGAUACGAGGACGGGCCGCUGGCGGGGCGGGGGCGCCAGUCCACAGCAAAGCCAGGGGCACAUGGUAUAGUGAAUCACCAAGCCGGGACAGGAACUGCGCCCAAGGGGUCCUCCAAAACUGAGUGUAGAUUUUCUUGCUGAGUACAGUUUGCGCUAGAGUUGAGCCCAUUCGACUCAAAACAAGCGCAAUCCAUAACGGGUGCAUGUAAAAAUAUGACGAGGGGGAAGGGAGGUUACGCAGCGCUGCGACGGCCGCCCCUAACGGCCGCCAGUCACGGCACGCCGCCUCCAGGACACCGUCAGGACGCGGUGACCGGGGCCUCCAGCGGCAUUCUCCACACGGCGACCGGAGGCUCCGGCUGGUAGGUGGUCUACCCCAGCUGCGCAGAGGCCUCCAGGACACGGUGACGGGAGCCACCAGCGGCACAUUCUGCACACGCCGACCAGAGGCUCCGGUGACCUCCGGAACACGAUGGUUGAGGUCUACUACAGCUGUGCCCCCCGGACGCGAGCCCUAGGACCCUCGAAACAAUUGUCGUUUCGCGAUAUAGUCAAUCUAAUUUUUUGAACAAACUUUUGUCAGACUUUUUUUUAUCUCACGCCGUAUGUGUUGGACGUUUCAGAGGUGUCCGUGUCCUCUGUACAAUUUUGUCUCAUAUAUUAUUAAGACAGGCGCAGCGCCGAUAGAGUAAUAGAGGGUCUCCGAAAAGGUCACCGCAACUACUAACGGCCGCGGCGUACUGAAUAAAGAACGGCCGGUGUUAACAGGUUGAACACGGUGAAUUAUUCAGGGGACAAAAACGGCGGGGGAAACACGUGACGGGGGCGAAGCCGACGGCACAUGAUCGAAGCUUCUCGGGCGGCGCCGCGCGCCACGGGGCGCUCCGACUGGCGCCAUUCGGCGUCAACACACGCGCCCC